AUGAACGUAAUGCUCCUCACGAACGUUGUAAAACGACGUUAUGCAUGAACGUAAUGCUCAUAACUUCCCUCUAGAUCUAGCUGCGGUUGAGGCUCCAGCUAUAAAUGGAUAAAAUCUUGGUCUUAAUGUAUACGAGUUUUUGAACGUAAAGGAGCAAUAAUUAAUUUAUUGUUCUGUCAAGAGGGUUAAUAUUGCUCCUUUACUUUUCCUUUUUAGUAGUUUCAUAUAUCAAUUUUGUAUUUACUUCAACACUCUUUACCAUUGUUUUUGUUUUAAGAUAAGAAAAAAAUAUUGGAGUUUCAUACUUUUUGUUUAUUUUUUACUAAUUUAUUUUAUAUGUUUUUCUCAGCAAUCUUUCUUUAUCUUUUGAAAUUAAAAAUAAAAAAAAUGAGAAAUGAAUGUUUUAAUUAUAGUCUAUUGUAUCUUAGAAGACGAGUAAAAACUUCAAAAUAAUGAAAAAAAGAAAGAAUACAAAUGGAAAUCUCUGUAAUUUUUAGAAUUUUUAGAUAGUAUAGGGGCGGAUGUAGCCAAGUGGAUCAAGGCAGUGGAUUGUGAAUCCACCAUGCG
rnacentral:misc_RNA from 1 species